rfam:Bacillus marisflavi strain JCM 11544 scaffold2, whole genome shotgun sequence.
CGUAACCACAAGGGGAGCUUUUUUGCUGAGAGUGAACGGUCGAUCCGUUCUGACCCUUUGAACCUGUUAGUUAGCACUAGCGUAGGGAUGUGGAAGGCAGUUUUC